ensembl:snRNA U6 U6 spliceosomal RNA
GUGCUCACUUCAACAGCACAUGCACUAAAAUUAGAAUACAGAGAAGAUUAGCAUGGCCCCUGCACAAGGAUAACACGAAAAUUCAUGAAGUGGUCAAAAAGAAA